GACGAACGCUGGCGGCGUGCUUAACACAUGCAAGUCGAACGGAAAGGCCCUGCUUUUGUGGGGGGCUCGAGUGGCGAACGGGUGAGUAACACGUGAGUAACCUGCCCUUGACUUUGGGAUAACUUCAGGAAACUGGGGCUAAUACCGGAUAGGAGCUCCUGCUGCAUGGUGGGGGGUGGAAAGUUUCGGCGGUUGGGGAUGGACUCGCGGCUUAUCAGCUUGUUGGUGGGGUAGUGGCUUACCAAGGCGUUGACGGGUAGCCGGCCUGAGAGGGUGACCGGCCACAUUGGGACUGAGAUACGGCCCAGACUCCUGCGGGGUGCAGCAGUGGGGAAUAUUGCACAAUGGGCGGAAUCCUGAUGCAGCAACGCCGCGUGCGGGAUGACGGCCUUCGGGUUGUAAACCGCUUUCUCCUGUGACGAAGCGUGAGUGACGGUAAUGGGUAGAGGAGCACCGGCUAGCUACGUG
rnacentral:rRNA from 1 species